rfam:Euryarchaeota archaeon TMED85 49696, whole genome shotgun sequence.
CGCUGGGCUAGGAGGGAAGAUGACGUGUCCUGUUUUCCACAAAUCGUCAAUAAUGGUGGUCCGAAGUCUGAGGGCGGCACAAACGAACCGUCGGUAAUGUUUGGGGGGACGGCGAUGCUUCGACCCCGAGAGAUCCAGGUUGGCCAGACCCACAUCCGGAGGGAUGUGGAAAUGGCAUUCACCCGGGAACCAGGUCAGGCGCGGAAGCGAACAGCCCGACUGGGAGCUAUGGAUGCCUCGGGAUUCCGGAGCGGAGAAACCCCGAGUAAUUACUGAAGGCUACGCGUGUCCACCGAUGACGUGCCCACUA